rnacentral:rRNA from 1 species
UGCAAGUCGAGGGGCAGCAUGGUCUUAGCUUGCUAAGGCUGAUGGCGACCGGCGCACGGGUGAGUAACACGUAUCCAACCUGCCGUCUACUCUUGGCCAGCCUUCUGAAAGGAAGAUUAAUCCAGGAUGGGAUCAUGAGUUCACAUGUCCGCAUGAUUAAAGGUAUUUUCCGGUAGACGAUGGGGAUGCGUUCCAUUAGAUAGUAGGCGGGGUAACGGCCCACCUAGUCAACGAUGGAUAGGGGUUCUGANAGGAAGGUCCCCCACAUUGGAACUGAGACACGGNCC